AUUAGAAUUGCUGGGUUAUAUGGUAACUCUUCAGCAUUUUGAGAAAUUGCCAAAAUGUUUUCCACAGUGGCUGAGCCAUUUUGCAUUCCCACAAGCAAU
rnacentral:pre_miRNA from 1 species